CAGCUUGCAGGUCAACACAGCACUCCCCUUCCAGCCACAGAAAUCACAGAUGGUCAGAAAGGUGGUGGCAUGGGGGUCUCUGAGGCAGGAGCCAGGCCAGGCGCUGCAAAAGACUCUCAACCCCCGCCAGGGCCAAGGCAAUGCUGACAUUGGGGCUGCAGCAGGAACCCUGGGGGUGCCACACAGCUGGGCUCUGCGUCCUGGGCUCUGCAUCCAGAGUCACUUACCACGUGCCACACAGCUGGGCUCUCAGACAACAAUCCUCCCUGUCCCUCUGACGUACCUCUUAUCUAGGGCUGAACUGCUUGUUUAUGGAUGAAGAAAGCCCACGUUAACAAGGCUGGAAAUCAAUGCCUUGCUUCCCUAGAGUGUGUUUGCCCACAGAGGGUACGUCCGGUCAGGGGCAAAGGACAGAGGUCACUAGGCCCAGCCUCCUCCUCAGGACCAUGGCCAGUCAGGAUAGGACGUCCAUCCUCCUAUCAGCUGUACUGUGUGCUGGGCGGCUGGUGAGAACAACGGCCUCUGCCCUCUGAGAUGCACGACUUCACACAGACCCCCACAUUCAGACAUCUCUCUGCUGGGAGCCCAUGGGUGCCCUACCCCCAGCCUCCAGAUCUCCAAGGUUUUCACCGAGAAACACUUGACCCGACUUGCA
rnacentral:lncRNA from 1 species